rnacentral:lncRNA from 10 species
AUCCAGCAAAAUCCCAGGUUGUGUCAAAGUAUUAAUACAUUCAGAAGAGAAGAAGCCUUAACAAUGCAACUUACAGGAAGAACAACUGAAUAAUUGAUCCCAGCAGCCGUUUAACUGGAGACCUAUGGUUUAAAAAGUAUCAUCUGUCUAUGAAGAGAAGGAAGCAUAUAAUCUUCAUUAUACAGAGGUUUCCAUGUAAAAUACUGCAUUUUUAGAAGACUGACAUCUAAAGGGAGAAGCUUCAAUUAUCUGAAAAAGUCAAUGAUUGCCUAGUGAUGUCAACUAAAUGAGCUUUACUGUGUCGAGAUUCUUACUGAAGCCAAAAGAAAAUCAGCAUGAAAACAGAUCAGCCUCUGGCCAGGGUCAUCCAGCACCUCUGGGUCUUGUCUUUCAAUAAAGGAAUGGCUAGAAGUGUGACCCCUUCCCCAAGACACUCUCCUGCCACUGAUGGAUCAACAGAAUGCUAUGGAGAUGCAAAGGGCCCUCUAGAAGAUUGAUGUUGUUAUCAAUAAAAACAAAAAUCAAGGCAUCUUCACUCAGUCUUCAGCUGAUAAAAAUGUUGACAACAGUGGGAGAAACUCAAAACUCACAUGUUUUGGCUUUCUUUAUAAAGGGAAAGGCCAUAGAUGAAUUUCUAAAUUUAAACCUCCAUCUCCAGAGACACCC